rnacentral:rRNA from 1 species
UACGUAGGUGACCAGCGUUGUCCGGAUUUACUGGGCGUAAAGAGCGCGCAGGCGGUCGUUCAAGUCGAGUGUGAAAGCCCCCGGCUCAACUGGGGAGGGUCACUCGAUACUGAUCGACUUGAAGGCAGGAGAGGGAAGCGGAAUUCCCGGUGUAGUGGUGAAAUGCGCAGAUAUCAGGAGGAACACCGGUGGCGAAGGCGGGUCUCUGGGCCGUAACUGACGCUGAGGAGCGAAAGCAUGGGGAGCGAACAGG